rnacentral:rRNA from 1 species
UCGAGAAUCAUUCGCAAUGGGCGCAAGCCUGACGAUGCGACGCCGUGUGAGCGAUGAAGGCCUUCGGGUUGUAAAGCUCUUUCGCCUGGGAACAAGAGAGGCUGGCUAAUAUCCAGCCAAUUUGAGGGUACCAGGUAAAGAAGCACCGGCUAACUCCGUGCCAGCAGCUGCGGUAAUACGGAGGGUGCAAGCAUUAAUCGGAUUUAUUGGGCGUAAAGGGCGCGUAGGCGGGGAGAUAAGUCAGAUGUGAAAUCCCGGGGCUCAACCUCGGAACAGCAUUUGAAACUAUCUUUCUUGAGGGUAGGAGGAGAAAACAGAAUUCCACAAGUAGCGGUGAAAUGCGUAGAUAUGUGGAAGAAUACCGGUGGCGAAGGCGGUUUUCUAUCUUAUUCCUGACGCUGAGGCGCGAAAGCAAGGGGAUCAAACAGGAUUAGAUACCCCCGUAGUCC